AGUGACGAAUGGCUCUCUGUGGCAGAGCAGCGCCCAGCAAAAGGCCCAGUGAGUAAUGGCUCGUCUUCACACUGCAUCCAGUGAACGUGUGCUUCUAGGAGGAUUAGAGAGAUUUGUCUUUCAUUUUCACCAUGCCAGAGCCCGUGAAGUCCACUCCUGCCCCAAAAAAGGGCUCCAAGAAGGCCGUGACCAAGGCACAGAAGAAGCAUGGCAGGAAGCGCAAGGAGAGCUUGUACAGGGUGCUGACGCAAGUGCACCUGAACUCGGGCAUCUCUUCCAAGGCCAUGGGCAUCAUGAACUCGUUCGUAAACGAUACCUUCGAAUGCAUUGUGGGCAAGCUGUUACGCCUGGCGCAUUACAACAAGCGCUUAACCAUCACGUCCUGGGAGAUCCAGGCAGCCAUGUGCCUGCUGCUGCCCCCGGGAGCUGGCCAAGCAUGCUGUGCCCGAGGGCACCAAGGCUGUCACCAAGUGAGCACGCAGGGCUCACAACAAACCCAAAAGCUCUUUUCAGAGCCACCCAAU
rnacentral:lncRNA from 1 species